rnacentral:rRNA from 1 species
UACGGAAGGGGCAAGCGUUGUUCGGAAUCAUUGGGCGUAAAGGGCGCGUAGGUGGUUCUGUAUGUCUACCGUGAAAGCAUACAGCUCAACUGUAUUUUGUCGGUAGAAACUGCAGGACUUUGAGGCUGGGGAGGGGCUGGUGGGAAUUCCCUGUGUAGCGGUGAAAUGCGUAGAGAUGGGGGAGAACACUCGUGGCGAAGGCGGCCAGCUAGACCAGUUCUGACACUGAGGCGCGACAGCGUGGGGAGCAAACAGG